rfam:Lupinus angustifolius cultivar Tanjil contig_41907, whole genome shotgun sequence.
CCAGCAUUGAUGAGCCUCUAACAUAUAAGAAGGGUCCCUAAAUGGCUUACUUCAAUGAAAUAUGCAUGUUACGCUUGGCUUCUGAGCUCC